CAGUAGCCGCCACGGGAAUACGGAGGGUGCAAGCGUUAAUCGGAAUUACUGGGCGUAAAGCGCACGCAGGCGGUCUGUCAAGUCAGAUGUGAAAUCCCCGGGCUUAACCUGGGAACUGCAUUUGAAACUGGCAGGCUAGAGUCUUGUAGAGGGGGGUAGAAUUCCAGGUGUAGCGGUGAAAUGCGUAGAGAUCUGGAGGAAUACCGGUGGCGAAGGCGGCCCCCUGGACAAAGACUGACGCUCAGGUGCGAAAGCGUGGGGAGCAAACAGGAUUAGAUACCCGCGUAGUCCCUGUCUCUUA
rnacentral:rRNA from 1 species